CAGAACGAACGCUGGCGGCGUGCUUAACACAUGCAAGUCGAACGCGAAAGGGACUUCGGUCCUGAGUAAAGUGGCGCACGGGUGAGUAACGCGUGGAUAAUCUACCCGAUGGACCGGGAUAACAUUUCGAAAGGGGUGCUAAUACCGGAUAAGACCACGGCUUCUUAGGGGGCUGCGGUAAAAGGUGGGGACCUUCGGGCCUACCGUCAUCGGAUGAGUCCGCGUACCAUUAGCUAGUUGGUAGGGUAAGGGCCUACCAAGGCGACGAUGGUUAGCUGGUCUGAGAGGAUGAUCAGCCACACUGGAACUGAGACACGGUCCAGACUCCUACGGGAGGCAGCAGUGGGGAAUUUUGCGCAAUGGGGGAAACCCUGACGCAGCAACGCCGCGUGAGUGAUGAAGGCCUUCGGGUCGUAAAGCUCUGUCAGAGGGGAAGAAGUGCAGGGGUGCUAAUAUCACCUUUGCUUGACGGUACCCUCAAAGGAAGCACCGGCUAACUCCGUGCCAGCCGCUGC
rnacentral:rRNA from 1 species